CUGUAGUGGAGAUUUCCCUUCGUCCAUUUGCAUCCUUGAGAACUCACUGGUGUCCCUGCCAUCGUCAAGGGAUAUCUUCACAGGUCACAUCCAAGUGAAGACAAGUCUUGUAGUGAUAUGGAGUCACCCUUAGAACACUUAACGAGAGGCAAUGUCCUAAAGAUGGCCAAUGAACUUAUUGGGGAAUACAUGCCCCACUCCCAGCAAGACAAAUUUUAUGUUCAAGAGCACACUAAGCUCCUUGUCAGGUCAAUGGCAAAAGACCUGAAACGUCACCAUGAUCAAGGCCAUUGCGUAUCAAGCUUCAACCAUUGGAAUAUUAAAAUUAGCGCAUCAGGCCGUGCAAGAAUCAUUGGCGUGACUUCUGUGGAUAAAAAUGAGAACUCUAUUAGACAAAACUACAAGGAUCUACACAAUAUUGUGCUGAACACAAUUUUCAGGGACUUCAGUUUGCAGCAUCAAUUGCCAUCCGAUUGGAGAUCACUGGUUCUACUGAUGAAGAUGCAUCCGAUUGGUAAUGAGUAUCUGAUUUGCAAUUAUGUAGCACUGAUGCCAAUUGAGAAUAGGAUAUUCUUCUUCCAUCCUAUGAACAUGUCAGGUUUGUAUUGGCCCAAACCGACCCAGUAAAGCAGAGAAGGAUUUAUGAUGGCCUUCCAUACUCACGACACUGGUCGGACAUUCUUAGAGGGAAUUUGCUACUAGAGGCUUCAUUCGCUCACAAGAAGCACGAUAUUAGUGGAGAACCUGAAGGUUUUUUUGAUUUCUACCGCCACACAAACAGCCACCGAAUGGAUAGAUAUAAUCUUAUUCCAUCAGUGGGGGCCUACACACCAUUGCAGUUUGAGAUGAACCUGGCAGUACGCUAUCCACUCUACUUGGCUCGACUUGAGGAGUUGCUGCACCAGGAGGGUGAGCUCAUGAUAUCUUUGGAGCCACGUUUACUCUUCUGAAGCUCCAGGUGUCUUCUGGGAGGCACGGCUUUCACAGAUUGAUGAUAACUCAGGUCAAGUUAUACUUACCUCGAUCAAGGAAAUGGCCGGUGGUUAACCUGUGAAUCUGAGCUAUCCUCCUGCUUUAGUUGAUGGAUGUUGUAGUGUUUUUUGUGCUGAAAGAACCUAGCAUCUUGGCCAUGUAAUAGGGCGAAACAAUCGUAGUUUUUAGUUUACUUUUGCUUAUGGCAGACUGUUGAACUGGAUAUGCUGUGAACCUGGGAGAUGAUGGCUUGGUCUAAUAAAGAUGGGGCUGAGGACAGGCUCCCCGUUCUUCUAAAAAAAGAAGUUAUACUAACCUUUAUUAGCAAGUUACAAAUGUUGCAAUAUCAUUUGCAAUGUUAUGUCAGCUUAUAUGUAUUCUUUGUUGAUAGUACAAUAUCAGGCCGGAGGCUGACAAGACACAUAUUGUGGAAGUUUGGGAGCCUGACAAGACACAGAUUUGUAUCUGUUUACUCUGCUUGUAAGAUCUGUUUACUCUGCU